UACGAAGGGUGCAAGCGUUGCUCGGAAUUAUUGGGCGUAAAGCGCACGUAGGCGGCUUGGCAAGUCCGAUGUGAAAGCCCUCGGCUCAACCAAGGAAGUGCAUCCGAAACUGCUGAGCUUGAGUACUUAAGAGGAUCGCGGAAUUCCCGGUGUAGAGGUGAAAUUCGUAGAUAUCGGGAGGAACACCAGUGGCGAAGGCGGCGAUCUGGGAAGAUACUGACGCUGAGGUGCGAAAGCGUGGGGAGCAAACAGG
rnacentral:rRNA from 1 species